rnacentral:rRNA from 2 species
GUCUUUUUGAUUAAUAAUUUAAAGUCUAAUCUGCCCACUGAUAAAAAAUUAAAGGGCUGCAGUAUUUUGACUGUACAAAGGUAGCAUAAUCAUUAGUCUCUUAAUUGGUGACUUGUAUGAAAGAUUUGAUGAAAUAUAUACUGUCUCUUUUUAAUUUAUAAAAUUUAAUUUUUUAGUUAAAAAGCUAAAAUUUGUUUAAAAGACGAGAAGACCCUAUAGAGUUUUAUAUUUAUAUAAUUUAUUAUUUUAUAUAAGAUUUAAAAUUUUAGUUUAUAUAAAUAUUUUAUUGGGGAGAUAGAAAAAUUGAAAUAACUUUUUUUAUAAUUUUACAUUAAUAAAUGAAUAAAUGAUCCGUAAUUUACGAUUAUAAGAUAAAAUUACCUUAGGGAUAACAGCGUAAUUUUUUUUUUUAGUUCAAAUAAGAAAAAGAGUUUGCGACCUCGAUGUUGGAUUAAGAUAAAAUUUAAAUGCAAAAGUUUAAAAUUUUUGAUCUGUUCGAUCAUUAAAAUCUUACA